GUGUCAGCCGCCGCGGUAAUACGUAGGUGGCGAGCGUUGUCCGGAUUUACUGGGCGUAAAGGGAGCGUAGGCGGAUUUUUAAGUGAGAUGUGAAAUACCCGGGCUCAACUUGGGUGCUGCAUUUCAAACUGGAAGUCUAGAGUGCAGGAGAGGAGAGUGGAUUUCCUAGUGUAGCGGUGAAAUGCGCAGAGAUUAGGAAGAACACCAGUGGCGAAGGCGACUCUCUGGACUGUAACUGACGCUGAG
rnacentral:rRNA from 1 species